CAGUCGCCGCGGGAAUACGUGGGGUGCGAGCGUUAAUCGGAAUUACUGGGCGUAAAGCGAGCGCAGACGGUUAUUUAAGCAGGAUGUGAAAUCCCCGGGCUUAACCUGGGAACUGCGUUCUGAACUGGAUAGCUAGAGUGUGUCAGAGGGGGGUAGAAUUCCACGUGUAGCAGUGAAAUGCCUAGAGAUGUGGAGGAAUACCGAUGGCGAAGGCAGCCCCCUGGGAUAACACUGACGUUCAUGCUCGAAAGCGUGGGUAGCAAACAGGAUUAGAUACCCCAGUAGUCCCUGUCUCUUAUAC
rnacentral:rRNA from 1 species